rnacentral:rRNA from 1 species
AACCUGCCUCUCACAGGGGAGUAACGCAGCGAAAGUUGCACUAAUACCGCAUGAGACCACGCUUCUGACAUGGGAGAGGGGUCAAAGGAGCAAUCCGGUGAGAGAUGGGCUCGCGUCUGAUUAGCUGGUUGGUGAGGUAACGGCCCACCAAGGCGACGAUCAGUAGCCGACCUGAGAGGGUGAUCGGCCACAUUGGAACUGAGAGACGGUCCAA